UGUCUUGUUUUUGGAUUAUGAUGGAACAUUAUCACCAAUUGUGGAAGAUCCUGAUCAAGCUCAUAUAAGUGAUGCCAUGCGCGCCGCCGUACGUGAAGUUGCUUUUCAUUUUCCGACGGCCAUUAUCAGCGGAAGGCAGAGAAAUAAGGUAUAUGAAUUUGUGAAGUUAAGGAAUGUGUAUUAUGCUGGAAGUCAUGGCAUGGAUAUAUCCACUCCAUUAGGCUCUUCAAAUAAUCAAAAUCAGAAGCAUCAAACAAAGGUUAUUGAUGAAAAUG